GACGAACGCUGGCGGCGUGCUUAACACAUGCAAGUCGAACGGAAAGGCCCGGCUUUUGUGGGGUGCUCGAGUGGCGAACGGGGGAGUAACACGUGAGUAACCUGCCCUUGACUUUGGGAUAACUUCAGGAAACUGGGGCUAAUACCGGAUAGGAGCUCCUGCUGCAUGUUGGGGGUUGGAAAGUUUCGGCGGUUGGGGAUGGACUCGCGGCUUAUCAGCUUGUUUGUGGGGUAGUGGUUUACCAAGGCUUUGACGGGUAGCCGGCCUGAGAGGGUGACCGGCCACAUUGGGACUGAGAUACGGCCCAGACUGCUACCGGCGGCAGCAGGGGGGAAUAUUGCACAAUGGGCGGAAGCCUGAUGCAGCGACGCCGCGUGCGGGAUGCCGGCCUUCGGGUUGUAAACCGCUUUCGCCUGUGACGAAGAGUGAGUGACGGUAAUGGGUAAAGAAGCACCGGCUAACUACGUG
rnacentral:rRNA from 1 species